ACACAGGAAUCCAUUAUUCCUCAGGCCUCCCGCCCAAGCUGCUAGCUGCGAGCAGCGCCCUUGCCGCCAGCGCUUCUGCCUCCGCCCGGGACAGGGAGGGGACUGCUCUGCAGCCCAGCAACCUGUGUUCAGCUCUCUCGCCCACGGGAAGCGAACCCCCCACCCCACCAGAGCCAUCGACACUCGAGAAACAUGAGGCAUUGAGCCAGAAAACGAGUCCAGAAUCCGAAAUCUUCAGGGUUCUUUGGGGUGGGUUGGAGGGCUUACUCUUUAAAACGUAUAUUUAACAGAGCUAUUUUCUUCUCGUCCCACUAGAUCAUCUCAUUUGUCUUUUUGCACCUACUCUAUCAGGGCGGCAAUUGUUUCAACGAUGAAAUGAGUGAGAACCCGAGUGAUCCCGAGUGUCCCGUGAUGCCAGUGAGUGCCGCCGCCGAAGGCAAGGGGUGAGUGGGAUGGGUCUGGGAGGUGAAAGGCAGGUGGUCCCCAGGCACCGCCUGGGACUUGGGUAAACCCACCCCCUUUGCCUCAGUCAGAAUGCUCCCUGAGAGAUAAGCCACACUCACCUCCAUCCCUACCAGGGUCACGUUCUUAGGCAAGGCUCCCUGGGGCUAUGCAGAACUCUUGGCUGGGCUGAAGGUGUCUGGAUCCUGGG